UGCUGCUUUCAUAAUAAAGUUUAUUCUAUAUUACAAAUAGUAUUUUGUUCUUGACUGCAAAAUAGGAAUGCAUUAUAUUUACAUACACAGGUAUACAAUUAAUUAUAACAAAGUUGGAGAAGCUCGCCUUAUAUCCCCCAGUUUCACUUUAUCUCUCCAUAAGAUACUCUUUCUCUGUCAAAUAUGGUCAAAGUCUUUCUACAGUGGUUCUGCUGUAACACUGAGCUAUGGGACGACUACAGCGCGUUUGAAGGUGGAAUCUUUAGCUUUGCUCGGGGCACAACAAGCCGCCCCGAGCAGACAACCUUUGGCAGGGACAAAACGGGGACAGGACAAGGGGCGAGUGACAGGCGGGACGCUACGACGCUGGGGCAGAUUCACAGUGGACGGCGCUGGACACCCGACCCGGGAAUUUACCUGCAUUUUACCAGAACAGAGUCGUGUGUGAACGGAGCAAGAACGGAUUUCCCCGUAUUUAUGACCUGGCGAUUUCCUGGAGGUUGUUGCUGGAUCGUCGGGUCUAUGUAGCUCUGGUUGCCACGGUAACAUGUUAGCUUCUGUCGCUAUGAACAGGCCUAAACUGUUAUAUUCUUGACUGUUUUGUGUUUUAUUUUAUGGCGUAAGUUGAGAUAAGGCUGUAGGUGACACAUUAGUUACAUUACUUAACCCUUACCUUGAGCGUUUGCCAAACCCUAACUUUAAUCAUGACCUGCUUCCAAACUUAAAAACCUCAAAACCUCAUCGGCGUCGCUCCCGACCCGAGAUUCAAGCAUUAACCACCAUUUCCUGCGUCAAUCACCAGGUAAAUGCAGGGAAACCUUAUGUGUGAAUGAAGAUGGAACAUCGCCAGUAUAACCACUUGAUUAAGUUUCCUGGUUACGAGUUUAGUUUCCUUGGUUACCAGCUUGAUUUCCAGGUUACCAACAUAGUUUCCUGGUUACAAGAUUUGUUUCCUUGGUUACAACCUUGUUUUUCCUAGUUACAAGCUUGAUUUCCUAGUUACAAGCUUGAUUUCCUAGUUAUGAGUUUGUUUUCCUAGUUACACUACCUGGUUCUCUUCUUAUCCAGUUUAAACGAUGCAGCAGUGCGUUGCUAAGUGACAGCACAGCGGCAAAAUCAGGUUACGUGUGAACAGACCAGACCCGGUGACGUCCUGGGACUGGUGUCUGUGUGAACGGGGUCUCUGCUGUGUGUUUACCGGGUCUGUGUGUGAAUGGGGCUGAGGACGUUCACUCUGAGUCUAUGGUCAAGACAAUGCAACAAUAUGGGACAUUCUGGUCAUUUGUGCACAACGUAAUUUCCCUCAUCUGUAAAAUAAGAGCAAAUUUCAUCAUAAUUCAAAUCUGUAUGUUGCCUAUACAAAUUAUUAUGUAUUUUAUGUUUUUUUGUUUUGUUUUUUUUUUAACAAGAUUUACAAAUUAAAGCAGUUAAUAUGGUAAUAAUAAU
ensembl:lncRNA